UCGCUUGACUUAUCAAAGAAGGUCCAAGGGGGCAGGGGUGUAAAUUGGCUGGUUGGCAUAACAACUAGCCAUGUGCGUAGGGGUAGAGUGGGGAAAUCGUUGGGUUGUGUAACAACCCAACAAAUGCAUAACAAAAUUCGGUUGAGGAGGAGGGUGGGGAAUAUGUAGAGGGUGAAGAAGUUAGCAGGGGGUGUAGAGAAUUUUUGGUAUUGAGUCUGAGGGAGAGUUAAGGGCCUCUUGAAUGCCCAAAAUUUUCCUUCUAACUUGAUUGAAGUGAGCAAAUUUGAAUUUAGUCUUUGUGAUUUUUCUUUGGGUUCCCAUCAAAAUGAUGCACUUUGCCUUGCUAUUAACUAGUAAUAGCCUUUUCACUGACUCUUAGUGAAACCAAGGCCCUUAACUCUUAACGGUGUGCCCCAUUAACACUUAGUGGUCUCCCAUAAGAUUGGAUCUCUCUGGUUAACAUUUAACUGAAACCAUCAACAUUAACUCUUUAAUGAAGAUGAACUCAUUUAUAGCAAUGGAUCACUAAUCGGCACAACACUUGAUAUGCGUGUGACUUUCUAGGUCCAUAGCCAUGUAGCAAUCAAAACAUGUCAACUCUGAAGAAAUCUCCUUUUGAAAGAAUAAUCCUUUGUAUAUAAUUCCCUUGAGAAUGCCACAAAUAUAUGCACAGUGGAUUCUAAGAAUUCUCCUAAAUUUUAGAAAUUAGAUUCCUACUUUUUUAGGACUAGAUUACAAUAACCUUAAAUACAAACAAAUCUAAUAAAAGAGAAAGAUAAGAUAUAACAACAAGAUAAAUCAAGAUAAAUUACAAAGAAUAAAUCAGAUGAUAAAGAGCUUAGUAGCUCGGCAACUCGACCAUUAGCUCGACAGCUUGGCCUUCUCAGUUCGACCUUUUAUUAGCUUGGCCUCAUCAGCUCGGUAGCUCGGCCUUCCAUUAGUUUGGCCUCGGCAGCUCGGCCUUCCAACAAUUUCCACACUCCCCCUCAAGCUAGGUUGAAUAUGUUAUUCAAGCCAAGCUUGCAACUCAAUUCAUCGAAUAUUCUUCUAGACAGAGCUUUAGUGAGAAUGUCAGCCACUUGGUUACUAGUAGGAGUGUAGAUCAGCUUGAAUACUCCCUCUUCCAGUUUUUCUUUGAUAAAGUGUCUGUCAAUCUCCACAUGUUUAGUCCGGUCAUGAUGAACCGGAUUUUUAGCAAUCCUGAUGGCAGAUUGGUUGUCACACACACAACACCUGUACUGGUUCUGUUGUAUCUAUUUUCAACUCUUAGAGUAGUAUUUUCAGCCAAAUCCAUGAGCCAUUGCUCUAAAUUUGGCCUCUGCUGAAAGGAAAGCAAGAUCGCUACGGGGCAAGCAGCGUAGUUCAAAAAUUUUGAACCUUACCCCGAUCUCAGCAAUUGUUUCAACGUCGAAAUCAAAUCAUUCACAAACAAAUAAAUAAAUCUAACAUUUAGAUUAUCGAGUCGUUCGCGGAUUCGAGCCGUCCAAGCGUCCGGCCUCUAACUCUUGAUACGUGGCACGCGUCCGUUGGCAAGGAGAGCGGAAUAUGAGUGCUAGCUCCUUCUUCUUUGCACGACUUGUGUAUGGACGGAAAAAGAACACCCUCGUUUCGUAUUGAUGCCAAAAGAAACGGGAAAGAGUGAGCGGCAAUACGUUUUUUUUCAACUCUUUAAAAAUGACACAAAAAAUCCCUGUAGUUUGGGCAACCCAUAAAUGGGUAUUUAUAAGGAGCUCUAGGGUUUCUUAAACCCUAAUGGAUAUGGGCCGACCCAUUUAAUUUAGUCCAAUUAGAAACUUAAAUUAAAUCGGUUUAUUUUAGUCCAACUAGGAUUAUAAUUAAAUGGCUCAAUCCUUUUAUAGGUUUAAAUAUAAUAUUUUGGCCCAAAUCUAAUUCAAGCCCAAAUAUAAUAUUUAAUAUUUGGCCCAAAUUCAAUUUAGUCUAAAUAUAAUAUUUAAUUUAAUAUUUGACCCAAAUCCAAUUUAGUCCAAAUAUUAACUUAAGCCCAAGUAUAUUUUAUUUCCUAUUUGCCACUCCAACAAAUAGAAAAUUAUUAAAUUAGAAAUUCCUUCAUAAUUUAAUCAAUUGCCAUUUUAGGAAACUCUUUCUAUUAUGACGACUCCUCGUCAUAUCGAUGUCAUUACGUCUAUUUGUUUUUUUUUCGUGAGAACCUAUGACGGCACAACUUAUUGCCGAAGUGUCUCACUUAACCAUACGUCCACUCUCCUGGUUUAAGCUAGGGACCGUGCCUAUUGCGUAUGACUCAUUAGGCUUCCGAAUAUGUUGGCAAUGUGUCGGUACGAACACAUAAGACAAGAUUAGCCUCUAGUAAGGCAUCAUGCCUAUCCAAUUAUUCAGAAGGAUUCAUAAUCUGCAAAUAACCUUUCACGAGCAUGGUUACUGUGUAAUACGAUCCUCUCGUCAAUGUAUCUUAUGUGAUCUCAAGUAUGGCGAUGUGUUGCUUGAUAACGAUCACAUGAGUUUUUUUCGGUCUUCUGGAUAUCUUCACUUAAUAGAAAGUGAAUCAAUAACUCCUUAUUGAUCUCUUUCACUAUGGCCAUGGAUUUAAAGUGAAUAUCCACCGAAGGUGCUUUAGAUACAUCAUCCUCUAUCAAGGGAUAGACGAGUCCCAUCUUGGCUAUGCACCCAUCUCCAUAAGCCUCACGAUAUACCCAACGAUCGCCCACGUGCAGCCUUUGUCUAGGCCCAUCAAAACGAUGUCAAAGCAUACCGGUUUUCUUAUGAGAUGACCGUGACAACCUCAGAUCCAAGGAUUAGUUACACCCAUCUCGUAUGAGAAUUCCAUCAACAUAUAACCAAAAUGGAUUCUCAUGGCGAGUCAUGUCCAGUAACAUAUUCUGUAACAUUGGUCACCUAUGUACUUGUCUAGACAUCCUCAUACCUAUGGGUGUGAGACCCCCAUUGCUAUCACAUAGCAAAAACAUAGCACAUACAAGUCUUAUCGCAAUUGUCAAUGUCCAUUCUUGACAUUGCUACGACUUGGGACGUUUAAUGAUGUCUAGAAACUGUGAUGUAUCAUCUCACAUCUUUAUAGAUUAAUCACAAUAUACAUCAUAUGGAUUUCUAUCUAGUUUCAUUUGGUUAUUACAAUAAUAACAAGAAACUAAUAGAAUGAAUUCUUGUGAAUUUGAACAACUCCUUAUUCAAAUAAUAAACAUGAUUACAAUUGUCAGUGUACAACAUGCCCAAUCUGACUGGGUCUAGAGCACCUACACUAACAUCUGCACUACUUCUAGAUACAACCGACUGCUUCUUGCUGCGUCAGGUCACUAGAUUUCCCCAUACAAAUGAUCAAUACCCUGAAGUUGACCUUCUAUCAAGAAUUGAACCAGCCCAAUCAGCAUCUGUAUAGAUUGUGAUUCCUCGAUUUGCUGUUUUUCUGAAUAUUAACCCCUUGCUUGGAGUUGAUUUUAAGUACCUUAGGAUGCGGUAAACUGCUUCCAAGUGUUCCUCUUUGGGAUCAUUCAUGAAUUGACUUACAACACUAACAGAGAAUCCAAUAUCUGGUCUAGUAUGUCUACUAACCUUUGAUACCUUCCUUUGUCAACUGGAUUAUUUUCUUUGCCAAUGUCCAAUUUUGCUUUAGAUUCCAUAGGAGUUUCAGCUAGUUUACAACCCAACAUUCCUGUUUCCUUAAGGAGAUCCAAGAUAUACUUCAUUUGUGUGACUGAAAUUCCCUCUUUGGAUCUUGCAACCUCCAUGCCUAAUAAGUAUCUUAAAUUCCCUAAGUCUUUGAUCUCAAAUUCUCUUGCAAGUACUUCUUUAAGGCUUUUGAUUUCAGUAAUGUCAUCCCCUGUAACAAUGAUAUCAUCCACAUAUACAAUGAGAAUAGUCAAUUUACCUUCCAAGGACCGUUUGAUGAAUAAAGUGUGGUCAUUAAAUCCAUGCUUCUUAACUGCCCUUGUAAACCUCUCAAACCAGGCUCUUGUGGAUUGUUUAAGUCCAUAGAGUGAUCUCCUUAGCUUGCAAACUUUGUUCUUUGUAAGUUUAGUCUCAAAUCCAUGAGAAAUCUCCAUGUAAACUUCCUCUUCUAGAUCUCCAUUUAAGAAAGCAUUCUUCACAUUUAACUGAUGUAGAGGUCAAUCCAAAUUUGUUGUUAGGGACAGCAAAACUCUGAUGGUAUUCAACUUUGCUACAGGAGCAAAUGUUUUUUGGUAGUCAAUACCAUAAGCUUGGGUGAAGCUCUUUGCCACUAACCGAGCCUUGAAUAUGUCGAUCUCUCCAUCUUCCUUAUAUUUUACUAUGAAAACCCACUUGCAGCUCACAGGAUUUUUCUCGAGAGGCAAGUCAGUGAUAUCCCACGUUUCAUUUUUUCUCCAAGGAACAGCCUCCUUCCAUCUAGGGUGCUGAAGAGCCUCUUGGAUAUUGUUAGGAAUUUGCACUUUGUCUACAUUUGAAACAAACUCACUGAAUUUUGGUGAGAGACCCUUGUAUGAGAUAUAAUUUUGUAGAGGAUGUUUUGUGCAUGCUCUCACACCCUUCUUCAAGGCAAUAGGCCAAUGUAAAUCCUCAUCAUCAAUAGAAACAGUAACAGUAUCCUCACCAGCUAUAUUUCUACCUCUUUCUACCGGUGAUUUCGGCUCAGCCUCUUGAACAGUCCCGGGGGCAUGUUGGAGCCUUAUUCUCCUUAGGUUUGGACUGUCUUCUAGAGUAAACCUGCAGUUCAGUGACAGUAGAGGCAGGUGUCACGACCCCAAGGAACCCCAAGGAUAUAUUAGUAAUACAUGUCAUUUAUUUUCCUUAUUAGUUGCAUUAGUUGCAUUUUAUGUUGUUGUUGUUAGCAUCUUCACUUGUAAGCCUAUAAAUAGGCUUGAGUAGUUAGAGAAAUGAGCUUAAUGAAUGAUUUGAAUCUCAAUUCCCUCUCUCAAUACUCUCCCACGACUUUUCUCUCUCUUUCCCUCAACAGACCCUUUCUGCUCUUCCUUUCUCUUAAUUCUUAUCCAAAUUCCUUCCUAGACCCUAGCUAAACCCGAGGGUCCUGACAUUUGGUAUCAGAGCUCCUGUUCCUCGGCUACGCCUUUCUUUGUUGCUUCUCGGAAUUAGAAGGCGACUUUAAUAAUUGAAUUCAGAAACAUAAUAGUUGAUCGAGCGGUGACUUGUGUGAUUCCGUGUAGCAAAGGCGAUUCCAUACAGCGAAUUCCGAAGGUUGAUUUUUAGAAUUGGAAGGUUGUUGUGAUCGAAAGGAAAGCCUUCAACGAUUGAGAUCACUGUUCAGAGGUAAUUUUCGCAAGUGGCAAUUUAAGUGAUCUUUUCUAGAAGCAAAUUCCAUAAGCGGUAUCAGCAGAGCUCAGCGAAUCGUAGAAGCAAGUUCCAAAGCUGACUCAGGAGAUUUCCGAACGAAUUGGAUUUCAAUUGUCAAAAUUGAUAGCGGUGAGUGUCAGCUCGGAUUUGAAGGAGAAGUAGGCGGAUUAGCUCGGCUAGGAUUUUGGUGAUUUUGUUCAGAAUUGAGGAUGAGCAAGCUAGGUGAUUCAAGGAGCAAUGAAUUUCGAAGAAUUGAAGUAGAGCAUUGAGCGAAUCAAGAAUUGAGGACAAUUCCUAUCAGAGGUCGGUGAUUGGGUAAGUGGACGCAGGCUUGGGCGAUUACCAUAAGAAUCCAAGCAAAGUUGGAAUCCGCAAUGAAUCUGAUAUAGAACAGGAGGAUCAUGAUCUGCAUGCGGCCAUAGGCUAUUGCUCUCAGUGACGAAAUCAAAUCAAGUAAGGAGGAGUUACGCAGCGGAAGUUGCUUCAAAAGCAAGACGGUGGAUGGUGAUUGGGUGCCGACUCCGCUGGGGCUAGCCUUAAAUCAGUUUGAUUCCAGCAAAUUCGCUGCAUGUGAGUGAGGCGAAAUGCAGGAGUGGUCGGGAAUGGAAUUUCAGAUUUAAGUUGUUGCAUGUGAAGGGCGAGUCAACGAAAUUGAGAGCCGGCGGCUUGAAUUGUGAACUCGAACUCAGGGGGAAGUUGAUUGUUCGUUGGCUAGAACUUAGACGGACAUCUGUUGAGACAAAAUUCUCAAGUGAACUGUAGAAGCCUGCCAUUUCUUGAAAACUGAUCGAAGCUGUUUAGGUCAGAGAUUUUCGGAAGUAAGUGCGCAACAGAAGUUCGAUUUUAGUGUUGCACCACAGAAGUAAUUGCGAAGGGGAAGUGUGGGGUUCAAAAGUUGCAUGGCAGGUUUCUGAAAUGGCUUAGAACAGGUUGUCUGAAACCGUUCAGAGCUAGUAGAUUGUUUGAAGUGGACUCGGCAAUGGAUUUGGAGGCUAUUGAUCAUUUUAAGAAGUUGAAAUUUGGAAGGUGACAGUCCUUAGCUACUCCAUCGUAACUAAGGCGGUGGUUUAGGCUGAGUUGGAAGCUGAUAGUAGGCUGACUUGAAGGCUGAACAACCUGAUCAAAUUUCGGAAAUUGAUUUGGAGGCCAUUCAGCAGCAACUAAAAAGAUGAUUUAGAUCUAGGCUACUGUUAGGGCAAUGUCUAAAGCGGAUUAAGGUUGCUGAAUUGGAAGCAUCAAUUACAUUGGCUUGGGUUGCUGAUUUUUAGUCCCAGAAUCAAUUUCCGAAGAGAUCCUUAGAAGCUGAGCAAGAGGUUGUUACAGCAGUGAAUUUUCAAGGAAUUGGAUGGAGGAGAUGGCUGAUGGACUAUGUGCUGCAACAAGGGAAGGGGAGGUCAGGUGGACUGACUUUGCUAAAGAUCUAUGUGACCAAUUUGGGAAGAAGAACAUGAUUGAUGUGAUUGAGGAGUUUAACAAGCUUAAGCAGGAAGGAUCAAUGACUAAAUAUCAAAAGAGGUUUGAAGAAUUAAGGGCAUUGAUGUGGAGCUUUCAGCUAGCCUUGUCAGAACAUUACUUUGUAUCAAGAUUCAUUAAUGGUCUUGACGAUGCUUUAAAACUCAGUGUGAAAAUGUUUUGCCCUACUAGGGUGGAACAAGCUGCGAAGAAAGCGAGGCUGCAAGAAUUGGCACUAGAAGCCAUUUGUAGAAAGCAUGGACUGCCACCGGAAAGUUAUCGUAAGAGCAGCUCGCAAGUUUGUAAAGGACCAUAUGUAGCUAAAGGAGCUUAAACGGAAAAAUCCGAGCUGGAACUACUUAACGACAGUUCUAAGGAAGCUGAUAUUGAAGUUGUUGAAGGAAAAAAUGCAAUCGAUGAAGACUUAGACCAAAGGAAAAAGCAGAAGGCUGAGGACUUGCAUAGUACUGCAGUUGUUGAGAACAACCAUGUGGUUCAAAAGAUGAGGAAAAAGGAGGUUGCUGUCACACGAUUUAUAAGUUCGAAUAUUGGAGAAGGGAUAGUUGACAUGGAGGUCCAGGAAGUCUCUAUUAAAGAUAAGGAAGGAGAAGAGGUUGUGAAGAAGGGAGAGGAUAUGACUACAUCAACCUCGAAGUUUGAAGAUUACAAUGAAAAUUUUGUUGAGGGGAACAUAACUCUUGCUGUUUUGUUUAUUCCUCUUUCAAUUGGAGCGCUGCAACGCCGAAUCAGAUUUUGGCCUACAACAAAGUUGGAAUUCCUUUCUAUGAUUGGAAAUGAUAUGGUUGCAGCUAUAACGGAUCAAUUGGAACCAUUCUCAAUGGAAAUCAGAAUGAGGGGGAUGGCUGGACUUGCUGUUGCAGCAAGUCAUAGUACUGAUGUUUUGGAAGAAAAAGACACAAAAAGGCAACAGAAAAGGAAGAUAUGAGAUAAGCACAAAAAAAGGCGAAGAAGAAACCAGAUUGCUAAGGUUGGAAUCGGCUAAGGAAUGGGGCUAAUAACUAUCAAUUCUUGGGGACAAGAAUUGUUUGAAGGGGUGGGAAUUGUCACGACCCCAAGGAACCCCAAGGAUAUAUUAGUAAUACAUGUCAUGUAUUUUCCUUAUUAGUUGCAUUUUAUGUUGUUGUUGUUAGCAUCUUCACUUGUAAGCCUAUAAAUAGGUUUGAGUAGUUAGAGAAAGAAGCUUAAUGAAUGAUUUGAAUCUUAAUACUCUCCCACAGCUUUUCUCUCUCUUUCCCUCAGUUCUGUUAUGUUAUUCCUUUCCCUCCCUUUCUGCUCUUCCUUCCUCUUAAUUCUUAUCUAAAUUCCUUCCUAGACCCUAGUUAAACCCGAGGGUCAUGACAGUAGGAAAUUCCUUGGUAGGAGAAGGAGAAUGGCUGGUAGAGGUGUUAGAUUCAGGUUCCUCGGUCUCCUCAGGUUCUUAACAGUCAAUAGAAUCCCAAAACUGAUAUUCUAAGGAAGUAUCUUGCUCCCCUGAAUAUCAGUUUUGUGAUAAUAGGGCUGAUUUUUAAUAAAUGUGACAUCCAUGGAGGUGAAGAAUUUUUGAAGUUCAGGAGAGUAGCAUUUAUACCCUUUUUGAUGAAGAGAGUAGCCUAGAAAUAUGCAUUUGAGAGACCGAGGCUCAAGCUUGCUUCUCAUAUGAUUAUGCACAUGAACAAAUGCACAACAAUUGAAAAUUUUGAGGGGAAGAUGUGAAAGGAUCCGUGUGUGAGGAAAGGAAGUAAGAAGAAGGUGACGAGGGGUUUGAUGCUUUAGGAUUCGUGAGGGCAUUCUAUUGAUUAGAUAGGUGGCCAUUAGAAUAGCCUCACCCCAAAAAUGAGAAGGAACAUGUUAGAAUUUGUUUAGUAUAGCUGUAAGUUUCUGUAAAAUGGCAGAUAUGUUUGUAAGGAAAUGUUUCCCUCUUAUGUUUUAUGUGUUUAAAAUGUAACGGAAAUGCCUCUUGGGUUAUUUCCGGUUAAGUCAUGUAUUUUCCUUAUAUUUACAUAUUAGUCAUUUUAAGUUGUAACCGCCUCUAUCUUUUAUAAAUAGAGGCGGGUAGGUUCUGUGAGGGAUAGCAGCAAGAGAGAGAAUUCAUAUGUUGUAUUCGCACAUAAGAGUUGGAGAAUAGAGAGAGAGCCAGUGCUCGGUCCUUUGUUUUCUUGAGAGAGGCUAUAGAUUAAUAGCCUAAGUGUGUGCGAGGAAGAGACCAAGGAAGAAGUGUUGUAAUCUUGUUCUUUGAUAGUGGAUUCUGUCGGCAUCAUCUGGUAGUCUGGAUGUAGGGCAAUUUCUUGCCUGAACCAGGAUAAGUCUUCUUGUUCUUCAUUGUUUUUAUUUUGCAUUUUAAUCUAUUUUACUUUUCUUUUAGUUUCUAUCUCUAUCGGGUGAGAAUUUGGGUGAGAGAGAGGUUUUAAUUGUGUGAGGAUUAGAUCCAAAACUCAACAGAACAUUAGUAGAGAACAAUAGGGAUCUCGCAACUUCCAAUAAGUGUCGGUUCUUUCGUUCUGCAACCCCAUUUUGUUGGGGGUAUCAACACAAGUGCUUUGGUGUAUUAUGCCUUGUUGGGAAAGAUAAUGACCAAGGAUAGAAUUGAAGUAUUCUUUGCCAUUAUCUGUUCUCAAGAUCUGAAUUUUGGCAUUGAAUUGUCUUUGCACCAUUGAAUGAAAAGUUUGAAAGAUAGAACCAGUUUCAUAUUUUUCUUUCAUAAGAAAUACCCACGUUAAGCGUUAAGCGAGUAUGAUUAUCAAUAAAUGAUAUGAACCAACGAGCCCCAAUAAUGUUUCUAACAUCGCUAUGAAUCAAGGAGAAAGGCGAAGAUGGAGUAUAAACUUGGCUGGGAUAAGUGUUUCGUAUAUGUUUAGAGAAUUGAUAGAUUUCACAUUGUAACAAAUGGGGAUCUUUAUUCUUGAACAAUGAGGGAAACAAUUUCUGAAGAUAAACAAAAUUAGGAUGACCCAAUCCAUAGUGCCAUAACAUGAUAGCACCAUCAUUGGAAUGAAAAUUAGAUAAAUAAACAACUGGUUUAAGAGAAGAAUAGUUGCUGGAUUGAACAACUUUAUUGCUAGAAGAAGUCUUUUUAAGGAUGUAGAGGCCCGAACAUGCUUCAGCACUGCCAAUCGUCCUCCUCGAACUUUGGUCCUGAAAUUCACACAAAUUUUGUGAGAAUUUAACCAUACAAUUACAAUCAGUAGAUAAUUUGCUUACUGAUAUUAAGUUGCAGUCUAAAUUUGGCACCAAGAGAAUUGAUUUUAGGGUUAAAUCAUUUGAAAUUGCCACCAUUCCAAUUCCAGCUACCUUUGAUAGUGAACUAUGAAGAAAUCUCCUUUUGAAAGAAUAAUCCUUAGUAUAUAAUUCCCUUGAGAAUGCCACAAAUAUAUACACAGUGGAUUCUAAGAAUUCUCAUAAAUUUUAGAGAUUAGAUUUCUACUUUUUAGGACUAGAUUACAACAAUCUUAAAUACAAACAAAUCUAAUAAAAGGGAAAGAUAAGAUAUAACAGCAAGAUAAAUCAAGAUAAAUCACAGAUAAUAAAUCAGGUGAUAAAGAGCUUAAUAGCUCGGCAACUCGGCCAUUAGCUUGACAGCUUGGCCUUCCAUUAGCUCGGCAGCUCGGCCUUCCAUCUGCUUGGUAGCUCGGCCUCAGCAGCUCGGCCUUCCAUCAGCUCGGCAGCUCAGCCUUCCAACAAUUUCCACAAACUCCUUGAUGCCAGUCGAACACUUCAACCUACUAAAAGGAUCUCUCCAAAUCCCCAGAGCAUCUUAAAAGAUCUUGAGUAUUCCCUAGUUAAGACUCAGGACGAUCCCAAUGGCAAUGAAGUGUGAACUUCAGAUGAACCCAUUAAGGUUCUUUGAUUACUGUGCACUUUAAUCUUUCCACUGAUUAAGAUCCCAACUAAGUGAGUCAUGGAUUGACUAAACUCACAAGACUCGAUAACUAUGACAGAUCUAGUACGAUAUGGUCAAGGUAGCAUUUCGGAACAACUUUCGACAUCGGGAACACAUUUCCGAUCAUGCUCUCCUUGGCUAGGGGUUUACCAACCACAACUAACUUAGACCACAUGGGAUGUUCACCCCCAUUUGAUGGAGGGCAAUGGAUUCCAUCAGCGAACAUCUGCCUCUACACAACUAUGCACAAGACAACUAUGUCGUCUGGACAGUUUCGUUCAACGGCAAAUCUCCGACACCGAUGCGCAAGACAACUAUGUCGUCUUUGGUUAGAGGACCAAAUACACAAUCAAAAACCAGUAACAGAUCAUCAAUCACAAAGCCAUGUGAUAUGUCGCAGGCGUCACAUUCAAUAUAUGUUCAACUAGCAUCUACCCACAUGUCUACUAUCUACAUUUCAUGCAAGAUGGUAUAUGACUUACCACCGUACUCAUUAGCAUCUCAUGCUAAAUAUUAGUAGUAGCACACAUGCUGGUCUGUAAUAGAUAAAUUAUAUUCCCCUUUUGAUAAAUCUUAGGGCCAUAAAUUCCUUUAAGAAAUCUUAAGCUAGAAAUCUGUGUCAUAUCAUUCUUAACACUUAAAAAUUAGAUCUCUACUAGGAAUUCUAGGGACUCAUUCAUAAAUAAAAACGGAGAGUAUGAAUGAAGAUAUGACUUUAUAUAUAUGAAACAUAUAUUAUACAAGAUAACAUUAUUAGUGCCAUUCACAUACAUCAGAUGUAGUGCAAAUCUAGCAUUUAGGGCACUGACACUAACACAACUGAGACUGUAGUAUUCGUCUGCUACAGUUGUGACUUGAAGUGUGUCAUGUGUGUUCUGUUAGCCAUGGCCAAAAUCUCACGAGUAGGAGAAGUCGUCAAGGAACUACUCGAUAACCUCCUAUGACUCAAUUAGUACUGUUAUAGCCUCCAGAAAUUGCAUUACAAGAACUGCCUUUGAACUGAUUCUAGUCUAAUCGAACUUGAAUUUUAUUUUUAGUAAACCUAAUCUACCUUGUUUGAAAUUGCUUCCAGAAAUUACUUAGAUCUAACCUCAACAAUCCUGAAUUCACCUGUCAUAGUUGGAAUUGAGAAAUCGGUAGCCUGACUCUACGCCCUAAAUUGCCUCUUGCGUCUCGAUCAAUUUCGAGAUUGCUUGCUCUGAUUUUCCAUCAAAGAAUCAGCUACUCUGCUCAAUUAUGAUGUCAGAUUGGAAUUAUGGUAUUGCCUAAAUCACCAUGUAGUGGCCAAUAAUUGUUGACUCUGAGUUGUCUUCAAAUUUAAGCUGAAAAUGAGCAGAAGUUGAAGGUCAUGUAACAAGAGUUUUGUGAAGUCGGAUCGAAAUUACUGCAAGGAAUCGCCUAUCAACAGUCGUGAUCAACUGGUUCUGCUUUGCCUUCAAUUCUGAGCUGAGAAUCACAAUCGGAAUUGUCGAACCAGCUUUGCCUUCAAAAUUUGUAAAGGAGCUUUGGGUUGUUGCUGAGAUCACCUGGCUCGUUUCAUUUGAUCUACUACUGGAAUCCACAGCCGGAAAUCGUUGGCUCGGUUCGUUGGAUCUACUACUGGAAUCCACAGUUGGCAAUCGUCGAAAUCACAUCCUCAACAAUUGAGAACCAUUGGAAUCACAACCAGAAAUAGUUGAAAUCACAUCCAAGAAUUGUUGGUUCUGAUACCAAUUUGUCAUGAACGUAGGGUUUAUCUAGGGUUUUGAUAGGAAGAUGGAAGAAUCCGAGGGAAAUAGAACAGGAAGUAAGGGGGAAAAUCAGAAGAAAUAAGGGAGAUAUCAGAAGAAUAGGAGGAAGAUAUUUGGACAGAACAGCAAAAGAGGGAGAGAUUAGAGAGAAAUCAAAGGGAGAUUGGGUGAGAAUUGAUGAGAGAGAAAUCAGAAAUUCUAUUUAUCAUUCAACUAUAUGAUUUCUCUAACUAAUACAAGGCUAUUUGUUGGCUGUUAUUUAUAGUCUGUUAACUGUAAGGUACAAGCAUGAACAACUACCUAGAGUAUAAUAUAGUAAAUGCAUUUAAACUAACUACUAUUAUAUCCUUGGGGUCUUGACACAAUUUUAAGUCUUAUCACCUUGAUUCUAGUUGGUUUUUCUAUUGUUGCAACAUGGUGAAGAACAACCCCUUUCAAUGCUACAGAAGCCAGCAGUGCAAAAACAAGGGGAUAAUAGAGAUGAACCACAUGCAAUACGAAGUAAAUAAACAGCUUUGAAUCUUUGAACAAUAGUUUUCUCACAAGUGUUGGAGCAGCUGGAACUCAAACUAAAUGACAGUUUGGUAAAAUUUCAACUGCACUUCACAAGAACAAAAGACACAUUUAACUCCAUAAAAAAUUAAAGCCAUGUGAAGGUCAUGUUAAAAGGAAGGUAACCAUGCGCAAUGUGGCUCUGCUAUAUGAUUCAACAAUUCACAAACACUAAUCAAUUGUAACAGAUUUUCAGAAUAAAAAUGUUAAAAAAAUGGCAAAAACUAAUUGAGGAAGUAGAAGAAAGUGGUGGGGUCUUCUUGGCAUCCAAUUUCGUCCCCUUACAAACCGUAAUUUCCCCUCAAUUUUUUGCGUUGAAUACCUCCUUCUCUUCCUCUCCCUUAUUCAUUUCCCCUUCAGAUUGUCAUGUGAUUUUUAAUUUUGCUUUAAUUUUGCUGUGAUAUGUUUGUUACAUCUAAGGGGUAGUCAUGUGCAAGUGGUUAUAACAAUAGAAGGGUGUAGAAGUUGAGUAGUUAUACCCAUAGAAGGGUGUAAAAGAUGCCUUGGCAGGAAUCCUCCCUUCCGGUAGCUUGUAUAAAACCCCAUUGAUCCUCUCGGAUUGGGGCAUUGAGGAAUUAAUGAGAAUUUCAUCUCCUCCUUACUAAUCUCUCUCUCGCCUUCUCGCUAUUUCUCUGUUUUGCUUCUUGUAUCUUCCUAAUUCACAUUGAAUUAGGAGGAAUUCAUUGUUAGGCUUAAGUUGUGACAAUUUUGGUAUUAGAGCUCGAUUCUCGGUCGUAAUCCUUGAAUAUCAAGAUCGAUGACAGAGCAAGUUCGUAUGAAAAACUUCGAGUCAUAGCUGCAACAAUUCAACUCGACUAUAACUGAAUUCUAGAACAAAAUCAACUUGUUGGAGAUCGUAUCUACUCGAAAUCAUGAGGUGAUCAUGGUGAUAGAUCGCAAGUUGGAUAGUUCCAUGGAAGGAUUGGAACGGAGGUUGGAUGGGGCCAUUUAAUAGAUUUAGGAGGAGAUGGGGGUACAAUUUAGGGACCAGAUCUUCAACAGUUCAUGGUGAUGUUCACUCACUAGAACUCGGUAAGAAUCUCUCCUGACUUUCCUCCUAGGGAGAGAACAGAUCCUAUCUUACUUGGACAUAGGAUGAACUAUUGGAUGACAAAGACCUUUGAAAUUGAGGUGGAUCUGGGAGAGGAAGUAAUGGAUAGGGGACGGGAGGGCCAUGCCACCCACAAUCAAUUGGGGUUUCCUAUGCCCCUGAAGGAGAUCGCAGUGGUUGAAGGGAUUAAAUCCUAGAUGGUGGUUAAGAAAAUGUGAACAAUUAUUUAAUUGGUACAACAUACCAAAGGGGUAGAGGGUAGCCUUGGCCACAUCAUACUUUAACGAUAUAGGGGAUGUUUGGUUUCAAGGGUGGUCUAGAGUAAGAGGAGAUUGUAUAUGGGGGGAGUUUGCUAAAAAGCUUUGUGAAAGGUUUGGUGAGAGGACCAUGAUGGAUGUGAUAGAGGAAUUCAACAAACUCAGGUAGUGUGGGGAAGUGAGAUUUUAUUGGCUUAGGUUUGAGAAACUGAGAUCACUCAUGAUCAAUCACAAUCCUCAUCUAUCAGAGGCUUAUUUUAUGUUCAACUUUAUGAGCGGUUUGAGCAAUGAGCUUUGACCAAUGGUCAAAAUGUUGCAGCCCUGUACGGUGGAGCAGGCAGCCGAGAGUGCCAGGUUGCAGGAGAUGGUGGUGGAGGCUUUGGUGAGGAAGCAAAGGCAACAACUGAGGGGAGUGAUUAUGGGAACAACAUCAUAGGGAGGUAAGGGUUAUAAUAAGGAGUUGGUUAAAGGGAGUUCAGGGGUAAAGAGUUUGGGUGGUCCAAGCUUUGGUCACACCAUGCCACCACAAGGGGGGAGGCUAAUUGAGCAGAGGAGGCAGGUUGGGUUAUGCUUUAGGUGUGGGGAUAAGUAUUAUUAUGGUCACCAAUGCAAAUGGCAAUUGCUACUUCUAGAAGGUGAGGAUGGAGAGUUGAUUGAGGAAAGGGAAACUAGUGAGCUUGGUGAAUAUAGAUGAAUACAAUGGGGGAGAUUUCCAUACAUGCCUUGAAGGGAUUAACAAAUAACAAGAUUAUCAAGGUGGAAGGGUAAAGGACUGCAGCCUCAUGAUCUUGAUAGACAGUGGGAGUACCCACAAUUUCCUAAAUGAUGGAACAGCCAGGAGAUUGAAAUGUCAACUCAUGGGUACACAACCCUUGAGUGUGACAUUGGCCUAUGGAAACAGGGUAGUGAGCAAAUCGGCAUGUACGGGCUUCUGUUGGGAAAUGUAGGGGGAGGAAUUUAAAGUUGAUUUGAGACUCCUACAGUUGGGAGGUUGUGACAUUGUGUUGGGAGUAGAUUGGAUGAAAGGAGUGAACUCCAUACGUUUUGACUUUAAUAGAAUGGAGGUUUCCAUUGAGAAAGAAGGGAGGAAAAUGACCCUUACAGGGGGAAACGAGGCUGGGGUUUGUAAGAUAAUUACGGGAAGGAAACUACAUAAGGUGUUCAGGAAACUACAUAAGGUGUUCUGGAGUAAGUGGGCUUAGAUUACAUAGUUGUUCUCUAUUGAAGCAGUAGAGGAAGCUAGUGACUGCAAUGCAGUGCAAGGAGAAUUCCUCCUAACUGUUAGUACACCUAUGGGAAGACAAGAUGAGGUACACAAUCUAGAAUUACUUGAUAAAUUGUCGGUUGAAUUUGAGGAUCUUUUGUGGAACCUACAACCCUACUGCCUACUCGAAUGUUUGACCAUUCCAUCAAUCUCAAACCUAAUGCUGAACCCAUUAACAUUAGAUCAUACCAUUAUCCCCCAAACCAAAAGACAGAAAUUGAAAGAAUGGUUCAGGAGAUGCUACACCGAGCCAUAAUUAGACCUAGCCAAAGUCCUUUUGCUUCACCCUUUUGCUUGUCAAGGAAAAGGACAGAUUAUGGCAUUUUUGUGUGGAUUAUCGCCAACUUAAUGCCAUGACCGUUAAAGGCAAAUUCCCUAUACCCCUUGCUGAAGACCUUCUAGAUGAAUUACAUCAUGCUAGCUUCUUCUCUAAACUUGACCUACGCUCGGGAUAUAACCAGAUUAGAAUGAAACUUGAGGAUAUUCCUAAAAUCGCUUUUUGAACACACCAAGGCUACUAUGAAUUCUUGGUGAUGUCAUUUGGGCUCACCAAUACACCAACCACCUUUCAUGCUCUUAUGAAUCAUGUCUUUGAGCCUUAUGAAAAUUUAUAUUGGUUUUCUUUGAUGAUAUACUUGUUUAUAACCUUACAUUUGAUCAACACCUGAUUCACCUAAGAACUACCUUCGAGGUCCUCAGGUCUAACUAACUCUAUAUCAAAAGGUCUAAGUAUGCUUUUGGCAUGGGCAAGUGGAGUAUUUGGGGCACAUAAUAUCGGUGGAAGGGGUGAGUACAAAUCCAAGAUAGGUGGAAGCCAUGAUUGUUGGGCCUAAGCCUAUUAUGGUGAAGGCAUUGAAAGGGUUCCUUGGGUUAACCAGUAUUACUACUGGUUUGUGAAGAAUUAUGGGGUGAUCAGUAGACCCUUAACAGAGCUUUUAAAGAAGAAUGGGUUCAGUUUGGGGGGGGGGGGGGCAAGAAGCAGAGGAUGCCUUUGAGAAACUAAAGGAGGCUAUGAGUAAGGUUCUUGUCCUUGGUUUGCCAAACUUUAGCAAACCUUUCAUUCUGGAGACAGACGCGUGUGGGAUAGGGAUUGAGGCAGUUUUGAUGCAAGAGGGAAGGCCAUUGGCAUUUUUAAGCCAAGCCCUAGGCCCUAGACCCUAGACCCUAGACAUAUGGGGUUAAGUAUUUAUGAGAAGGAAUUCCUAGUUGUAUUGAUGGCAAUUGAGAAGUGAAGACAUUAUUUGGAGAGGGGCUGAUUCAUAAUUAGAAUUGAUCACGGGAGUUUGAAAUUUAUGUUGCAACAGAAAUUGCAUACUCAAUUGCAAAAGAAAGGGAUGGCCAAACUAAUGGUUCUAGACUAUAUUAUACAAUACAAGAAGGGUAGGGAAAAUGUAAUAGCAGAUUUCCUUUCAAGGUGUCAUGAAGAAGGAAGCUUAGCAGCUAUAACCACUAUAGUUCCUGAGUUGUGUCAAGACGUAAUGGCUAGCUAUGAGGGGGAUGAGAAGGUGAAGGAGUUGGAGCAAUUGGUAGUGGGUUCAAAUGGGAAGGAAGGGUAUGCUUUGGUGGGAGGAUUGAUAAGGUAUCAAGGAAGAAUUGUGAUUGGGAACAAUGAGGCACUCGAAAGGAAGAUCCUAUAGGCCCUACACGAAUCACUCUUGGGGGGACAUUCUAGAAUCCAGAAUACCUACCAUCGAGUGAGGCAACUCUUCUAUUGACCUAGGCUUAAGACCAAGGUGAAAGAGUUUGUAUUGGCUUGUGACAACUGUAAAAGGUGUAAGUAUGAAACCGUGGCCUACAUAAGACUCUUACAACCCCUACCCAUUCUUGCCCAAGCACCGUGGCCUACCCAGGACUUUACAACCCCUAUCCAUUCCUGCCCAAGCAGUGGUCAGUAUAUCUAUGGACUUCAUUGAGGGAUUGCCUAAGUCAGAAGAGAAGGACAGUGUAUUGGAGGUGGUUGAUCGAUUUACAAAGUUUGCCCAUUUCAUAGGGCUCACACAUCCCUAUAUUGCCCAAGAGGUGGCUAGGAUCUUCCUAGAUCAAGUGGUUAAAUUAGUCUAUAGUGUUAGAUUGUGACAAAAUAUUGACUAGCUUAUUGUGGUAGGAGUUAAUGAAGGCCUUAGGCACCAACAUGAACAUGUCCACAGCCUAUCGCCUACAAUCAGAUGGGCAAACAGAAAGGGUAAAUCAAAGUUUGGAGACUUUCUUAAGUUGUCUUUGUUUCUUACAACCCAAGGGGUGGCAUAGGUCCCUCUAACUGUCACAUUUUGAGGCCUUAUUUGGAUACAAACCACCUAUCUUGCUAGCUAUUGGACAGUACACUACUGUCGCAACAUUGGAGGAGUAUUUAUGGCAGAGGAAGAAGGUGUUGCAACGACUGAAGGAGUUAGCUUCAACCAAAUAUAGAAUGAAACAAUUUGCUGAUCGAAAAAGGAGUGAAAGGGAGUUUUCAGUAGGGGAGAAGUGUAUUUGAGCCUGAGGUAUCCUCAUCUUAAGUCCAUCACACAAGGACCGGUGUCUAAACUAAGCCCACGGUAUUAUGGGCCAUUUCCAAUAGUUGCCAAGAUUGGGAGGGUGGCUUAUCAUUUACAGUUGCCUGAGAGUUCACAAGUCCACCCUAUGUUCUGCAUUUCUC